GCUGGGUGUGGUGGCUUACACCUGUAAUCCCAGCACUUUGGGAGGCUGAGGUGGGUGGAUCACCUGAGGUCAGGAGUUUGAGACCAGCCUGGCUAAGAUGGUGAAACCCCAUCUCUACUAAAAAUACAAAAAUGAGGUGUGGUGGUUCACACCUGUAAUCCUAACACUGGGAGACCAAAGUGGGUGGAUCACCUGAGGUCAGGAGUUUGAGACCAGCCUGGCCAACAUGGUGAAACCCCAUCUCU
ensembl:misc_RNA Metazoa_SRP Metazoan signal recognition particle RNA